ensembl:lincRNA Gm28100 predicted gene 28100
GAUCUUGAGAGUGUCAUCCUUCAGAUGGUAAGUGACUCCAGAGUUGGAACAAAGACUUGGAUGCCAUGUGUCCUAGUCAGGGUGCUAUUGCUGCGAUGAAACACCAUGACUGAAGAACUCCAGUCUAUGAACAGUGCGUCCACAGUUUGACUACAUCUUCCCACUCCAUUUACACAGGCUGGAAACUCCCUUACAGUCAUGCCCACAGACAUCAAAGAUACCCUGCCACUCAUUGCCCAGGUUUCCCACCCUCACUCCUGGCCUGGGGACAAAGGUGCACCGUGUCCACUGGCUUACCUUUCUCCCUGGACUGAUGGGUUUGUGGGUCAGGUUAGAGUCUUCAGAGAGGAAGGAGCCUCUGUUGAGGAAAAGCCUUCAUGAGAUCCAGCUAACUGAAACCUCAAGCUGAGAGUUAGCUUUGACAAACCGGCAGUGAGAAAAAAAACGAGCCAGUAAGCAGCAUCCAGUCACGGCCUCUGGAUCAGCUCCUGCCUCCAGGUUCCAGCCCUGCUUGAGUUCCUGUCCUGACUUCCUCCAAUGAUGGGCUAUGGUCUGGGAAUGUAAGACAAUAAACCCUUUCCUCCCC